ACACACACACACACCUCCCACACACACACUCGUCUUGCCUGGGGACUCAAACGCAGUCAGCCCGUCGUGGUUCUGGCCUCGCCGCCAGCUCGCCCGCCCUGUCGUCUGCAAUAGGUGCUCGCUGACAGCGCUCGACUCCGCACAGCGCUGCUGCUACCCCGUGCGGACCUCUUGGGCUCGCUUAGCGACUGCGCCACCUAACUGGCCAUUUAGCAGCGCUCAAUUAAUAUCAAGCCUUGAAUAUAUUUAAAGCCGCGGGUAUCAAGUGUAUGAAGCCAAUGAAACGCUAUCCGUAGGCUAUGUAAGGUGUAUGUGUAAGCCUUUACAUAUAUACACGUGUAUCAUUAUAUAUAGAGGCACGACGAGAGACAAACACAGAGACAGGCACGUGGAAGACAGGAGAGACACUGCCUUUUACGAUGCCUGCCUAUUUGUGUUUUUACACGGCUAUCUCUGUCUCCGGGUGUCUCUCUCCGUGUAUAUCUGUGCCUCUUAAUGUAAAUGUCCCUGUAUGUCUGUCUGUGUCCGUCUCCGUGUCUCCGUCUGUCUCUGUACACGUCUUUCUUGCUCUGUCCCUCAAUCUGCCCCUUCGCGUCUGUGCCUGUCUCUCUGCGUCCCUCUUCCAGCAUCAGUCUGGAGCGGUGGGAGCCACUCUUUGGCAGUGUCUGUCCCAGUGUGUUUCUGUUUGUCUCUCUCUGUGUCUCGAGGCAUGUCCUCCUCGGCGUCUACACAGCGCUCCGCUUCGUGUGAAGUCGAUGAAGGUGAGAGGCGUGGGGGGUCGACGUCAGGGACAGCGGUGAUUGCCCACCACGAGAGCUGGCGAUGGUGGAGGUGCAAUUGUAGGGAGCGGUGUGCGCAGUGGUUCGCGCACUGCACGGCGAGUCUGUGUUCUUGAUUCAACCAAUUAUUUGCGCGAUGCUGCUGCGUUGGCAGUGGUGCCCGAUCACAAAUAACAAACAAAACAAUCCUCAAACGUUCGUCAAAAAAAUCUGACCUUUUAAGAAAAAACAUACAAUAACCGACGUUUGGGGAAUACUCCUUCAUUGUACAUGUGCUAUGUGUUAAGAUGUAUGCUUACUUGAAUUUGCUUCAUGGCCACGGCUAACAUUAGUGGCGAGUGAUUAUACCUCCUUCACCAGCCUGCACUUCUGACCAGCGCGGUGAAGUAUGGUCAAACAACCUUCCUGGCCGAAAUUGCGUGGGGAAGCCUUCGUACAGUGGUGGAUUGCUGCUGCUGAUAUUUUUGUGAGUUAAAACAUUUCACCGGGAAAGACCCUCGACAUGGAAUCAUGUCAUAAGCGUGUCGAGGGUGUAGAUGAACAUGCACACACGCACACAGCCAACACGUGCACAUACAUCUCGAAUCUAUCACUUUUCUGCCGUUUCGCUCCACGUGUUGUGAUGUACUUCGAUUAGAUUCCUGAGAAAGAACGUGGAGAAAAACGUCGGACAUCGUGCCGAACAACGCGAGGAACAGCCCGAAAAGCAUUGGAGGUUGACACUUUACGAGAGCGCUCGCACCUCAAAACAACGCCAUCACCAUGACGGUGUUGGGAACAGCAAACCGUCAUCCAGCAGUGGAGACAGACCUCCGUGGGAUCUCUUCUCGCAAUGUUUUCACCAUCCGAGAUGUAUCUCCUGCGAAAAUGUUAGCCCCGUCGUCCCAACUCGAUGCCUCGCUCCAUCACGGCAUCUGACCCCUCGGAGCAGAGGAUGAGAGAAGAGUCAAGGAGGUGAGGGGAGAGGAGAAAGGAGAAGAGGCAAGGAGAGGAGAGAGAGAGGAGGAGAGAAGUGGCAGGAGAUGAGGGGAGAGGAUAAGGGAAGAUUACCGCGCCCAGGUGACUUUCGCCAGUGGCGGGGCGAAAACUCCGCUGUUGCAGUUCUACACGCGGCGCUCGACAGUUCGUGCGGCCCGCGAUUGCCGGGACACCUCCUGCUAGACCGCUCCACGGGCUUCAGUGAGCGUGGACUCAUUGGAGAGCUCCUCAUGCGUCGUUAUGGGAACGAGGUCGAUCUUUAGAGAAACUCUUUCACCUUUGGUCUGAUAGUUUGUUUUAUUCAUUCAAUUCCCCGAAGCACGAGGGAUGAUCGACCAGGCCCAGGCAGAGUCCCGCGCGGUUCGCGUCCUGCGCCACGCACCCUGCUGCCCGAUUUAUAUUUCUGCUCACGGCCAACAUCGGUGACUGAACCAAUACUGAGCCUCACCCAAGUCGACCCUUUGUGCUGUGUGCGUUGUGGUUAUUUGGGUCGAUACUUGUGUGUUCAUAUCGGUGCGUGCGGGUGAGCACAGCACGAGAGGCGGUGUGUACGGCUUGGGGUAUGGGUUGGUUGCCAAGUGCGGUUAACGUUUGAGCCAAUGAACUCCAUGAGAGUGAGCGGAUAUCGCUUUAGCUCACAGAUCUCUACGACAGUGAAUUUUGGAGUCCACUCCCCGUGCUCCUCACCUCCCCUCCGCUCUCCCCCGCCCCUCGCGUCUCGCCUGAUUUACAUGCGAAUUGACUGCACAAUUAAGAAGUGAAUGGACACCUAAUACAGUGGGAAUGAAUGGACGGUGUCUAAUUAAUGAUCGCGAGGAAUGGGAAUCUAUUAUGGAAAUGUGGGAAGCUUGGCGUGUGGAGACUGUCUGUGUGCGGAGUGCUGGAGCAGUGGUUAGUGCACUGCGCCAAUAUUUGAACUGAUCUUUUGUUUCCCAAUAGGUCGACUCAGCCUCAAAUGAGUACCUGUUGCAGAGUAUAAACAUUGCAGGACGCCAAUUGAACAGAGCCCGAACACGUAUUAGGCCCUUCCUGUCGAAAUAAAUGAAAUCUGAUCUAAUCUAAAAAUCUAAUCAGCACUAGGAAGACAAAGGCGGCCGGGCGUGGUGCUGGCCACUCACCCCGUCGUGUGCCGUUCCGGCCUUCACAUGUGCCCGCUAUCAGCACUUGAAUGUCCUCUCACUCGCAUACAAUUUCGCAUCUUCUUUGACUACGUCGUUCAAGAAGCUUCCCAUGACUGUACUGGUGGAAUUUCCAUCUGGUACAGCUGUUACAAAGGGAAGAUGAUCAAUGUACGGAUGUAGUCAAGGGAUAGCUCCCUUUUGCUAUGUUAUGUAUGUUGAUGAUCUGGUAAUUGCUUCUCACUCGGAGGAGUUUGAGACGCUACUGUUGAGCCUGGAACUUGCUCCUUAAGAGAUGAGGCAUGACUACCACCCACCACCACAACGCGUCUGCCUGAGUAUUUUGCCAUCAAAUACUCCACUCUCCAUGAGUGAUGGGGCAGUUGCCAAGAGAGAGGUGUCCGAACAUGAGCAGUGUGCGUAUGACCAGCUGCAGUUUGGCAACGGAGAUUUCACUCCUCAUCAGUCGAACGGCAUAACGAUGUGUGGAAGCGACAUGGCUUGUCACUCCAUACAAAGCGCCAGAUCUUCUGUUCCACAGUUAGGGCUCUCCCUUCUCUCCGCUUGCGAAACGUGCAGCACUUUAAAGGAACGUCGACGCCAGUUAGUGGUUGCUGCUGUUGUGUGCGCGGACAUUAAAUCAGUGAGCACACAUAUCAUACAUAUGUAAUAAUCUGGUCAAAUAUGUGUCAUGAGACCCUCCACCCACCACAUAGCUAAAUAGAUAAAAUAGUUGCGUGUACACCGUUUAACGGGCCACGUAUAAGUGUCAGCUGACCGGUGAGUAAACAACUCUUCUCACAUCCAAACUGAGCAGUUCGAUACUCGAAGUUUUGCUACGCUAAUUAUUUUCAGUUCCAGGAACUUAGAACAAAUCCAUGAAAUUAAGUUUAACUUAUGAAUAAAAUAUAUAAAUUGCUACAGGAAAUUGCCCUUCUGUGUAGCACAUUGGUGACGGAUAUCUGCAGCGCCCCACGAUGGUUUGAGCAAGGGAGAGGAUUUAAAAUUCGAACUCGGCAAGGAAUACGGGGAGCUCCGUCCCCUCCUCCCCUCGUGGGCGCGGGAAGAGCAGCCACGCGUGUCCCAUAAAUCCUCACGACGGUGACGCGCGGAGACAGAGGGCGCACCGCAAUCCGUCGCUGUAAACCAGAGGUGGGAAACCUUUUCCUUCCCGAGGGCCACAUAAAACUUUCAAAAACCUUUAUGGGGCAACCACACAGACCGCGAUCGCCUCUUACUGCAAAAUGCCAUGCAAGUGACAGAAUCGGCUCAGUGCGGGAAUCGAACUCUGGUUGCCGGGUUUGCAGCGUAGUGCGCUAAGCACUACACUACCGCUCCCCACAUCUACAGUACACACACAUGUAAACUCAUACACGUACAUACGCGUGCACGCUUGCAUCUAUAAGAAUUGCAUACUCGCGCAGAGACACAGUACAC